GAGCGAUGAAGAUUUGGCGCUUUAGCGAUGGUUGGGUCCUUCGUAGACUUCUGAUAUUCUCGGAUGUAUACUAGCCCUGUGACUGAGCUC